rnacentral:lncRNA from 1 species
CUUUUAAAAAAGAGAAAAUGCUGCUGGACUCCUUCGUGAGAGUUGACAUUUUUCAGCGCGAGGUCUACACCUUUUUUGACGGUGUCCGGCAGUUUGCUGAGGGAGUUUUGAGCUCCUCCGGAGCUCAGCAGGACUCCAAAAACGAGCAGCGCAAACGGCAGAUCAGGCAUCUUCAACCAGUCUGAGCACGAGCCGCGCGCGCUCUCUGAAAAACAGCCGCAUUCCUGGAGGACUGCCUUCUGUUGGUUCAUGGAAAUCAGAUUAAUGUGACGCUGGUGUUGGUUUGGAACAGAUCAGACGUGCACAAACUUGCUGUGUUUGAGAUCAUGAUGUCUGCAGAUUCCAGAUGACAUUUCUUUACGAUCCAGUGAUGUUGUCAGACUGCCAAAACCACACUGGUAACAGCCAAUCUCUCAAUGUCUCUUGCUUUCCUUGAGUUCAAACAAUAACACACAUAGCUUAUGUUUGCAGUAAAGGUCACAUGUACACAUUUAGCUUAAAGGCCUGUGAAAUUAAAAUAAAGCUUUUAUGUGUUAGUGU